rnacentral:rRNA from 1 species
UACAGAGGGGGCAAGCGUUGUUCGGAAUUACUGGGCGUAAAGGGUGCGCAGGCGGUUUUGUAAGCCAGAUGUGAAAUCCCCGGGCUCAACCUGGGAAUGGCAUUUGGGACUGCAAGGCUAGAGUGUGGCAGAGGAGACUGGAAUUCCACGUGUAGCGGUGAAAUGCGUAGAGAUGUGGAGGAACACCGAUGGCGAAGGCAGCCUCCUGGGCCAACACUGACGCUCAUGCACGAAAGCGUGGGGAGCAAACAGG